rnacentral:SRP_RNA from 1 species
GCUGGGCGCGGUGGUGCGUGCCUAUAGUCCCAGCUACCAGGGAGACUGAGGCUGGAGGAUCACUUGAGUCCAGGAGUUCUGGGCUGCAGUACACUAUGCUAAUCAGGUGUCUGCACUAAGUUUUAAAUCAAUAUGGUGACCUCCCGGGAGCGGGAGACCACCAGGUUGCCUAAGGAGGGAUGAACUGGCCCAGGUUGCAAACAAAGCAGGUCAAAAUCUCCUGUGCUGAUCAAGUAUUCCUGACUUGCUCUUUUCCUAAAUUGAUUUCUCAUUUUGU